CAGAGGGUGCAAACGUUGUUCGGAAUCACUGGGCGUAAAGCGCGUGUAGGCGGCCGCGUAAGUCGGGCGUGAAAUCCCACAGCUCAACUGUGGAAGUGCACUCGAAACUGCGUGGCUAGAGUCCUGGAGAGGAAGGUGGAAUACUUGGUGUAGAGGUGAAAUUCGUAGAUAUCAAGUGGAACACCGGUGGCGAAGGCGGCCUUCUGGACAGUGACUGACGCUGAGACGCGAAAGCGUGGGGAGCAAACAGGAUUAGAUACCCUGGUAGUCCACGCCGUAAACGAUGAGUGCUAGGUGUCACGGGCUUUGACCCUCGUGGUGCCGUAGCUAACGCGCUAAGCACUCCGCCUGGGGAGUACGGCCGCAAGGCU
rnacentral:rRNA from 1 species